GAAAAGUAAAGGUACUACCUCAUAUUUAACGAUUGACCGUCCGUCUUAUUUGAAAAAUUUAUGAAAAAAUUAAAAAUAUUUAGUCACAUAUAAAGUACUAUUCAUAUUUUAUCAUCUAAUAUCAAUAAAAAUACUAAUCAUAAAAAAUUUUCAAAUAAGACGGACGGUCAAACGUUGAACGUGAAUAAUGUAAAACUGCACUUAUU
rfam:Oryza nivara chromosome 12, whole genome shotgun sequence.